UCUGCCUUACAAGCUCUCUCAACUAAGAUAACAAACUCUUUUAUUUCUAGGACACCAACAGACAAUCGGAUAUCACCAUUAAGCCCAUCCUCAAAUCUUUUACACAUAAUAGCAUCUGUAGACACACACUCUCAAGCAUAAUUGUUGAGUCUAACAAACUCGCGCUCAUAUUCAGUCAUUGUCAUAUUACCCUGUUUCAACUCUAGAAACUCUUUUCUUUUCUGGUCAACAAACCUCUGACUAAUGUACUUUUUAUGGAAUUCC
rnacentral:lncRNA from 1 species